ensembl:snRNA U6 U6 spliceosomal RNA
GUACUCCCUUCAGCAGCACAUAUACUAAAAUUGGAUUGAUACAGAGAUUAGCAUGGCCCCUGCGCAAGGAUGACAUGAAAAUUUAUGAAGCGUUCCAUAUUUUU